rnacentral:rRNA from 1 species
UACGAAGGGGGCGAGCGUUUGUUCGGAAUUACUGGGCGUAAAGGGCGCGCAGGCGGCUCUGAAAGUCAGAUGUGAAAGCCCCGGGCUUAACCUGGGAAUUGCAUUUGAUACUCUGGAGCUUGAGUACGGGAGAGGAGAGUGGAAUUCCCAGUGUAGAGGUGAAAUUCGUAGAUAUUGGGAAGAACACCGGUGGCGAAGGCGGCUCUCUGGACCGUAACUGACGCUGAGGCGCGAAAAGCGUGGGGAGCAAACAGGG